rnacentral:lncRNA from 1 species
UUUUUUUUUUUUUUUUGUGAAAAAGAAAUACAAAUAGAAGUUGGAUGAGAUAAAAUUUUCCUAAUAAUCCGUAAUAAGCUAUCCUAAAAUAUAAUAAUACAAUAUUCUUCUUUCCUACAAUAGUAAUUACACGAUGAAUCCUUACCCUUACCAUUCAGACCAACAUAUAGCUAAAGUCUUCUAAUAAGACAACACGUACUGAGGGUUCUCCAAAUUUAUUCGUUUUGUGAAGCAAAAAUGGAAGCUCGAAAACAAAGCUUGUGUAACUAAACCAAUUUAAAAAAAAUGUGUGACUAAUCAAAGGUAUCACGACAAGUUAAUACACCAUGAGCAAUGACUCAUAAAUAUAUCCUCUCUUUAACAGAUUCACAUUUGAAAGGAAGGUAGUUCACCUAGUUCAACAUGUAUCAAAGCAGGCAGAACUGAGAGCAGACGCAACCCUUAGGUGUUUAUUUUUUUUUGUGUGUGUGUGUGACUGAGAGAGAGAGAACCCACUAAAAUUUCAACAAAUACCAGAAGUUUAGAAGUACAAUCAGUUCUAUGUUGAGAACCAUAGAGGUCAAACCCGUAGUAAAUCAUGGAUCUGCUCUGGGACAGAACAUGCCUUACAACGAGAAAAUUUCCAGCUCAAGCUGACUUUUUUCACAAAGCCCAACUUUAACUACGUGAAAGAAAGAAAAUCAGUUCUUUCAAAUUUUUUUCGAUAAGCUUAUGAAAAAAAAAAAGGGUUCUUUCAGCAAUCAAACUAGUAAAGAUAACUUCUUUAACCACUUUUUGGGGAAAUUAAGCUACACUCUCCUUUCUUUCUUUUUGACAACUGUGGUGUCCGAGGCAGCUUGUGCGCAUCUCGACUAAUUCCACGGGAUACGUGUCCCCUGCUUCCAGCAACAGAGAUAGCAGGCAUCUAAGCAUCUAACUCUGUCCACUGAGGCUAGGACAAAAGGGAAGAAAUCACCUAGUAUUUUUUGCCUCCACUGGAAUUUGAACCUCAGACCUCAUUGCUGUCAACCAGUUCAUUGACCACUAGGCCACACUUUUGGGUGUCUAUACUCUUCUUUUGUACUCCAUGUUAAAGAUUAUUAUAAUUUACUUCUCACAAUUUAAUUAAGCACAGAAAAUCAAGAGUUCAACAUCACCAGCAGCUUACAAGUAAAUCCAUUUUUGUAUAUAAGUAGAUGAAAAAAUGGGUUCUUUCAGCAAUAAAACUAGUAAAGACAACUCCUUUAACCACUUUUAGGGACAACUAAGCUUCUCUUCUUUUCUAUACCAUGUUAAAGAUACUAUAGUUUACUUCUUACAAUUUCAAAUCAGCAGAGAAAGUCAAGAAUCCAACAUCACCAACAACAUACAGGCAAGCCUAUUUUUAUAUAUAAGGUUAUGGGAAAAAAGGGUUCUUUUUUUUUUUUUUUUUUCAUAAUGUGGUGUUCGGUCCAGCUUGCGGACACCUCCACUAUUUCCACAUAAUACCUACCACCUCCCACCAGCAAAGUGACAGGUAAAUCUGUCCACCAAGUCUAAAGCAGAUGGAACAAAAUGGAAAAAUGGGGUUCUUUCAAACAACCAAACUAGUAAGAUAACUUCUUUAACCACAUUUUGAGGCAAUUAAGCUAUACACUUCUUUCUACACCAUAUUAAAUAUACUAUAAUUUAUUCCGCAGAGGAAAAAUAAGAAUGCAACAUCACCAGCAGCAUACAAGCAAAACCCAUCCUCUAUAUAUAAGUUUAUGGGGAAAAAAUACAUUCUUUCAGCAAACAAACUAGUAAAUACAACUUCUUUUAACCAAAUUUUUGUCCAAUUAAGCUAUAAUUCACUUCUUCUUACAAUUUCAAUUCAACACAGAAAAUCAAGAAUUCAACAUCACCAAUAGCAUACAAGUAAACUCAUUUUUAGCAAUUCCUUUUUUUUUUUCCACUGCCAAAAUAUAUCUAAACAUCAAUUUAAAGAAUUUGGGGGAGAUGGUCUAGUGGUUCAGAAAUCAGAACCAUGAGUUCAAGUUCAAUUCCCAACGGAGAAAAAAAAAAUACUAGCCAUUUGUUCGGACAAAAUUACUGUGCAAUUAAUUGAGGUGCCUAAAUGCUGACUCGAGCAUAAUUUUUUUUUCCUGGGAGAGCAAAAAGAAAAACGAAAAAAAGAAAAAGAACCUGUCACGGAUUUGGAGUUGGUCAAUCAUAGCAGCCAUUCUUUGUUGGUCAGCUUGAUUAAGAGAAUUCAAAUCACCCAUCAUACUCGUGUCCAUUUUUUUUUUCACUUAUUGAUUUAUUAUCAACAAAAAUAUGUAGUAACUAUUUAGGAUUCAAUUAUAACAAAAAGAGUUCUGUUUUAUUAUAUUCCUUAUAUUUCAAAUUUCAAUGAACCCUAAAUAGUUGUGUGUGACGUGAGAGAUUAGUUAACACUUAAGUUUCUGUAGAACUCCCUCUUGAUUUAUGAAAUUGCACUUAAGUACACAACUUUUUGCAACAAAAAAAAGGGCUUUAUCCAAGGGUAAAAAGUUUUAUUUCCUUGAAAAAUAAGUUAAUUUAUUAUUUAUUUUUCAGAGAAAGGUCAAAUGUACCCCAAACUUUCGAAAAUAGUAUGCAAAUAGCCAAAUAGCUUUUGUUAUAUUUUUAGGUUGUCAAUGCCCUUAACAUCAUACUUUUGGGGCGUAUAUACCCUGAAGUGUAACAGAUAGACACAUGGGGUGUGUUUGGUAUGAAGGAAAAUGUUUUCCUGGAAUGGAAAACAAGUUGAUUUCUUUCUUACUUAUUUUCUUAUGUUUGAUUGGUGGAUGAAAAAUAUUUUCUAGUAUUUGGUUGGUGAAUGAAAAAAUAUUUUUCAAAAAAUACAUUUUAGUGUUUAAUUAAAGCGUAAAAAUACAUUUUAGAAUUCUUUUUUAAAAAAAUAAAUUAAAAAAAUUAAAGUUUUUUGGGGAAGGGGUUGGUAGGCGGGUGGAUGGGGGUGUCAGAAUAGGUAGUAGGGGUGGGGUAAGAAAAGAUUUUGAAUUUUUUUCGUUAAAAAAAAUUAAAAAAUUGGCUGGGGAAGGGGGCUUAGUAGGAGCUGGGGAUCAGGGUAGGGGAGUGAGGGGGAAGGGGGAAGAAAAAAAUUUUAAAAAUUUAAAAAAUAAAUUUAAUUUUUUGUAGGUGGUUGAGAAUUAUUAUAUAAUGCAGGUUAUUACUUGUUUCUCCGUCCCAUAUUAGUUGAUCACUUUAGUAAAAAUACAUAUUCCAAAUUACUUGUCCACCUACUAAAUCAAGAUCAAGUUAAUUAAAAUUUUUCCAUUUUCCUCUUCUUUUUUUUCCUGUUAAAAGAAAUUACUUGAACAUUAUUCCAAGAAUUUAAUUUUUUCCACUGAUAGGGCAUUGAGAGUGGAGUAGAUAAUUUUGAGAAUUGUAUGAAUAUUUUAACUUUAAAGUGGGGUUGAAAGAGAGUUUUGAAAAUGUUUUUCUUAUUUUUUGAAGGGAAGUAAUUUUCCUUAUAUUUAAGGAAAAUAAGUUGGUUUGAAAAAUAUUUUUCAAAACAUAUAAGCCAACCAAACAUAAGAAAACUGGAAAAUAUUUUCCUUCGUACCAAACACACCCAUGGUAUCUCUUAUGGUUAAUUUAGGUUUUAUAGUCUGAAUCAGAUUAAUUUUUUUGUUUGGCAAUAAAACGAAACUUUAUUAAUCAGCAAGUAAUGUGUUAUAAGCCAAGAGAAGUGCAAUACAAUUACAGACUACUCAGCACCUACUAAACAAAUAACCCAUAUCACUACUUCACAGAACUUAUAUAAGUAAAUAAACUAUAGUUUGAUCUAACUCGAGUACACAUAUCAAUUUGCAUUUGAUGAACUAAACCAUCUAUUGAUGUGCUCCGCUGUUGAACAAUCUCUAGUGUUUCUUUUAAUCCAGAUAAUAGUGUACAUUGUAGUAGUAAGACUAGUCUUCAGUAUCAACUCUCUGGGAUGCUUACUUCUAGCCAAUUGAUUUAUCCAUAGCCAUAUUGCAUUCCAACCUCUUGAACAUCCUUGCAAUUUCUGUCAUCUUAAGAUAGAGUCCCACAGUUUAUAUAUAUUGUCACGAUCAAAGAACAGGUCACAGGUGAUCUCUAGUUCCAUUAUGCAGCCGACAAAACAUACACUUCUCAUCAACAAUCAUAUCCUAGUUGACAAGCAUAUUCUUUUUUCUAAUUCUAUUUUGUUGGCAUAGCCACACAAUAAAUACUUAUUUAGGCUCAGUAAUGUUAUGACACUAAACUCAUUUCCAAGCAACAUUUUCAACUUCUCCUCUCAACACCUUAGAAGCUUUAGAGAUCUAAAAUUUUUCCUGAGAGAUUAUAUCAACAGUAAUGCUCAGAUUCUGACAAUAUUUUCUCAUUGUUACUGCUUUUCUGACCAUCCAGGAAGCUUGCAUUGGCAUUUGUAAAGUGUAUAAGUUCCCCUUUAUGUAGUAUUGAAGCACCCACGCUAUCCUUAUUUUCUCUUUGUAUUAACUUAGAGCCCACAAUAACUUGCAAAUAACAUCAGUAUUCUAAAGUCUCCAGUUUAUAAUGUCCAGUGCUCCUGCACUCUUUGAUAAGCAUAUUUUGUCCCAUGCCACUAAGGCUCUUUUAGUUAUAACAACUUCACCUGACUAUAAGUAGCUUCUAGAUGUAGCCUCAAUUAGUUUAAUCACUUUCUUUGGCAUUAAAACAGUUAGGACCGAUAGGCUCGUAUCCUAAAUAACACAAACCUGAUAAGUUGUAGUCUACCUGCAUUGGUAAGAUAUUUUGCCAUUCAACUUGUAACUCUUGCAGCAAUCUUCUCUAUCAAUGACUGACAUUGAGCAAUAGUGAGUCUCUUAGUAAAGAGGGGGACACCAAGGUUUUAAAGGGCAAAUUACCUUUUUCAUACCCUAAAGCCUGCAAAAUAUCUUGCUACACAUGAAAAUUCACUCUACCAAAGUACACCUAGAGUUUAGACAUGUUUGCUUUCAAAACUGUAGCUUCAGAGAACAUAUCAAACUAUCUUUUUAGGAGCAAAACUAAAGAUAAGUCACCCUUAGUAAACCUAAGGAAUCAUCAGCAAAACAAAGGUGAGUAAAGUUUAAUUUUUUACACCUAGGAUAGUAGUUACAGUCAUGUUACUUCUGUAAACCAGUCAUGCAUCUAUUAAAAUACUCCAUUAUAAUGACAAAAAGGUAAAGGGACAUAGGAUCCCUUUGCCUUAAUCCCCUUUUAGCUUGAAUUGUAUUUGUAAGAGUUUCAUUCACUAGAAAAGUGUAGUUCACAGUUGUAACACAUAGCAAGAUCCAUUGAAUCAUCAGACAAGGGAAACCCAGCUCCUUCAAAAUUUGCUUCAAGCACACCCAUUAUAUACCAUCAUAAGCUUUUUAUAAAUCAACUUUUAUCAUACACCUAGUGUAACCUUUGAUCAAUUUAUGACUAAUUAAGAUAUUGUCUGAGAUGAGUUUACCUGGUACAAAGGCUUUCUGAUACUGUCCUAGAAUACCAUCUAAUACACCUUUAAUUCUAUUGGUAAUCACGUUAGAGAUAAUUUUAUAUAUGAUAGUACAACAAGCUGUAGAUCUGCACUCUCUUAUUGUCUUAGGCUUGGAUGUUUUAGGGAUCAAAUUAACAAUAGUAUUAUUUGCAGUUGUUAGUAAUUUUCUCUUACCAACUAGUAAUUUUCUCUUACCAAAUAAUUCUUACACUGUAUCAUGAAUAUCAUUUUGAAUCACCUUUCAAGCUUUCUUAAAGAAGUAGGUCGAGUAUCCGUCUAUCCUAUGAGAUUUGUUACUAUCAAUAUUGAAAAGUGCCUGUUGAAUUUCCUACAUAGUAACUUCUCCGCACAUAGUUUAUUGUUGCUGCAGUGUAAGGCUUGGUCCCAGCCUUAUGCUUAAGAUAUUUAUUGCAGAUAUAUCUGAGGAGGUAGAUCCUAAUAAUUUUUUCUAAAAAUAUAGUAUCUUAGCCUCAAUAUAUUGUGCCUUAUGCAACACUUUACCACCACUAUCUAUCAGCAAAAAUAUAGCAUUGGAACUUGCUCUAGCCUUCAUACAUCUAAAGAAUAACUAUUAUUACCAUCCCCUACUUCAAUCCAGUGAACCUUAAGUUUUUGUUUAAAAAUCUUAUCCUUCAAAGUCGACUAUUUGUGGAGUUUCGGCUAGCCUUUGUUUCCUCUACUACAUCAGGACUUACAAAAUUCCUUAAGAGGCUCUACAUAUGAAGCACAUUUUCUCCAACAACUUAUAUCUUUCUCUCUAAGCUUCUCACAUAUACAUUCUUCAAUUUCUUUAGAGGUUCUUUGCAUAACUGUAAAUUCUUCCUUAACUUAUACAUGCAUGUGUCAUCAGCAAAUGUACUCCAAACCUAAGCAACAAGUGGGAGAAACUUUUCAUUAUCUGCAAGGAUAUUAAGAAAUUUAAAAGGUUUUUUAGUUUAUGAUCUUUCAGCUGCAAUAUCCAUAUGUACAUGUGAGUGGUCAGAGAAACAAUUACCAAAGAACUAAGUUGUGAUCCCUCCAUGGGUUACAGAACGCUCUAUCAAUUGUACUCCAUAUAUGUUUGUUAGUCCGAGUAAAAUUCUUUCUCAUUACUUUUAUAUCUAUCAAGUUGAGGUUAUCCAUAAUUAUUUGAAGGUCAUUUAUCUCAUUUACAUAAACUGGUUAUCCACCCAUUAGAUCAUCACUUGUGAGGAUAGAGUUGAAGUCCCCAAAAAUACAUCAAUGCAUAGUGUUUCCAGUUCUUAUAUGAGUAAGCCUCUCUUAGAGUUCCUUCUUUUCUUCCAGGCUAUUACUACCAUAAACUAUAGUCAAUGCAAUGCACACCUAAAGUCAGACCUUCUAUCUUGGAUUACACAGUGAAUGAAUUGAGUAUGACAUGUCUGUUGCGAGUUACUAACUUCAGCUUUCUUUCAUAUUAGCCAAAUUUUUCAAGUUGAAUUAGAGUAAUAAUUGUGAAUACAAGCCCAUCCUUUUGCACAUCUAGCUAAGCUCUCCUGAAAUUUAUGAUGCUUGAUUUUGGUUUCUACAAGUUCAACUAACUAUAUAUGAUUUGUCUUUAUAUACUCCCUUAUUUUUCUUUGUUUGAGAGGACUGUUUAAGCCUAUCAUAUUCCAGACUAAUCAUUUCAUUGGGACAAAAGGUUUUCCCCCUCUUCAAAGGCCUUUCCUUAUCCUAUGCAACCACAUUCACAACUGCUAAAGAAGAGAAUGAAUUUUGAAUCCUCAAUGUAGGUCCUCUUAAUUCUCUUACAGAGUUAUACAUCACUAAUUAUGCAUAUGACAUACUCCUCAUUCAACUAUUAAAAGAAAUAACUUUACUUAUAUUUGCAUCAUAUUUUUAGAGUUAUCGUCCCUGAGGUUCCUAGAGUAGUUAGCUUUUUAUUCAAACCAACAACAGGUUUAGGAACUACAAUGACUUCUCAACUACUAUAACACCCUUCCCUAUCUAUUUCUGCACCAUUUUUUUGUCUUCUUGAUUAUCAAGCCUUUUUUCUUUAUUGUUGCUUCGUUGGUCUAGUGUUGUCAAGCUUAACAGGAGGUAUUGUUUUCUUUUCUGGACAUACAUGUCCAUAUAUUUAUCAAAUAGGUCAAGAUAGGGGUUUUUAGUAAUAUGUAACGGGCUUCGUGAACACUCUUCCAUUAGGAUUAAUUAUCUCAAUUUCCUUAGGCAAAUCUUGAGUGAUGUUCAUAUCAACUAGCACUCUUGCAUAAGAUAUCCUGGAUUGAGUCUUAGUGCACUUAUCUACAAAUAGAGGUUCUCCCAAUCUACUAACCAUUUUACUCAAUGUCUUCGGGUUCAAUAAUUGAGAGGAAGCUUAUAAAAAUGUACCUAUAGUGGAAUUGUGCUUGGGAAUUAAGUUUGAAAAUGAAACACCCUAGUUUCUGGACCUUAGAAAAUUUCUGGAAUUCUGAUCUCUGGACCCAAUAUAACUCAUGGGUACGAGCCGUAUGUUGGGGUACGGAUGGUAUGGUCCGGUUGUAUACUGACCAGUGUUGGUUGGUGGGAUGGAUUUUGAUUACUAGAAUUGACACGAAUUAGGGGUAUGAGUCGUAUUGUUGGUUACCGAUCAUUUGGUUCCUUAACUUAAUCUUAGACUUGGUUACUUAUGUUGGAUCUGAGUAAGAGUGGCUCACCAUGAGUUGUAAGCCAGGGUACGAAUCAUACCAGGGACUCGUUUGGUAAAUAGUGUCCAAUCCUCCUAGUAAUUUAUUCUGCUAGGGAUAUUGGGUCAUGGAUACGAAUUAUAUGUUGUGGUUACGACUUGGUUGGAUGAGUCGUAUACUGGAUAUGGUUGAUCCAAGGGUUGAGGCUUGGAUAAGAGUGUUGGAAACCAAUCAUAUUGGGAGGGUACGACUCGUGAGGGUCAGUUUUAUCCCUGUGAUGGGAUUUUGUGCAACUUAAGUGGAGGUAUUCUAGAUAUUUCUCUACUUAUCCUAAUAGGGUUCCACGACUUCUAAGCUACCUGAAAGGUUAUUUAUCCUAAUAUUCUAUUCAUUAAUACUUAGAAACUCUUCCAAAACAUUUCAUAAUUCUCUUAAGAACUAUUGGGUAAGGGAAUCUAGGGUUUCAACUAGGGUAUUAAUUUGGGGCUUAUCUUGGUAAUUUUAUUCCGCCAUUGCCUUGGUUUAAGACAUGUUUCUCUUCCCUCAUUAUUAAUUUAAUUAAAGGCAUGGUUUAUAUGAAUAUUUUCGUAGUUUUACUAGUGUAUGACUUUAGCUUUCAAAUAUGAUUUGGGGAGGAGCUGAUGUUAAUUGCUUGGUUAUGAUUUCCCAUGGUUUUAAUUAUGCUUUUAUAUGCAUUAAUGGUGGUUUUAGAUAAUUGGAUUGGAUGGGAAUGGUUUAUUCACAGUUAGAAUUGGUUUUGGUUAUAUUAUGCCCCCAAUGUGUUUGACAAAAUGCUUAUAAAGAUAUGUUCAUUGCAUCGACUUCUUUUAAUGGAAUUCUUGCAUAUUUUAAACUUGGCAAAAUAAUUAUACAUGAUUUAAAUAGUUUGGAAAGACUAAAGGCUAACUGGUUAUGCUUGUAGGGAACAUGAAAGUCUUCCAAGUAGUUUAAUAUGGUAAAUAGAAGGGCACUUAAAAGUUAUCUUAAACCUAUAAAUGGUUGGAUAUAGAUGAUACUUGCAAGUAAGGGUUGGUAUGACGAUACUAAUAGCAAUGGCCUUGGUUAGUAAAUGGAAAUGGUUUUGUUAUUUGAAAAUUGGUUUUAAUUGGAAAAUAAUGGCGGGAUGUGUAGCAAAGUCGUAGAAGGUAGAGGUCCCGGGGGGACAAAAACUGGAAACUCAUAUUUGUCGAUAUGAGGUUGGUCUUGGUGUCGUAUGCAUAAUGUCACACUUUAUUUUGGGGAUGUACUAGUCAUCCCAUAUGAUACUUCCCUGGUCGCGUGGCUACACGCACUGGGGCCCUUUUAGUGGGGGGGAGCUGAACCCAUAUAGCCCCCGGGUGAUUUAGGACGGCAAAGCUACACAAUCCAGGUAAAGGUUUUAAAGGCAUGCUAAACCCGAUCCCUUUUUUCGGCAUGGAUAUAUAUAUAUAGGUGUAUGAUGUAUGAUUGUAUGCAUCAUGGAUAGUUUUACUUGGUUUUAUAAAUGACAUUCUGAGAUCAUGCUAGUGGUCACUCGCUAACCCCAUCUACUGACGGCUGUAUACCCACGUUAUAUAGGAACCAGCUGUUCUACUCUUCCUACAUAGUGAUUGACUCGAGGACAGUAUUUGGACUAAAGUGGUGAGCUUCUAUCCUUUCGGAAGACAUCAUUUCUUGUUAUAGAUAUUUUUAGAUAUUUUGACUUUAUUUUGGAUAUUGGUUUUGGCUAUGGUUGGGGGCAUGUCCACAAAUUCGGAUAGAGGAUUUAUGGUACUUCUAUGGAUUGGAAUGGGCGGGAUCGGUAUUGGUGUCGACCUUGGCAUUGGAAUAAGCCGGUGGGCUAACAUUAUUAGACGAUAUUAUUGGUUGUUCUAUUCUAUUACAUUUUGGGAUUAAUUAUAUUAUGUUUUAGAAUAUCCUUGGUUAUGGCAUUUGUUUGGUAUGGUUGGAUUAUUGGUAUGAGAGGGGUGACCUCGGUUAGGUUGGUCACGAUUGUGAUCUAUUCCUAGAGUUCUUAUGUGAGCUGUUAUACUAUUUUGUUACAUGCUGGAAUUCAGCCAACUCAGGGCAGGCUACUGGAGGUUGGGUUGGGUACUGGGGGUGGUCUUCAAUCCUAGUCGAACUUAGGAUGCCCAUUACGACAAGGCCUAGGGGGUUGUGUCAAGUUGGUAAGAGUCUAGGUUCAUGGUCAAUUAAGAGUCCACAAAGUCGUAUCGAGUAGAGUCUCUUUUUGGGGUGUGUAGCGCGCCAUACUCAUAAGGAAGAGGCUAUAAGGCAUUUAAGAAUGUUUUACUUUCUUUGUAUUCUAUCUUUGAGCUUAAAUUCUCAGUCCUGGAAUCUUCUGUAAUCCUUAUUUAUUCAUCUUUCAGAUCAUACCUCAUAAAUACGGAUUACAAAAAAAAUCUUCUAUCCCAUCUAGAGGUAAUACUGAAGGGGUGCAUCCUACUUCUGGGGUUUAUCUUUGAUCUCACGGUCCUAUCCCUAAUAGUUCUGGAGUUCCACUGAUUGCUACUAGUCCUCCUUAAGGCAAGGUGACUAAUGCAGAAUUUCGUCAGUCUAUUCAUGUUAUUGCUAAGUUGGUUGCUGCUCAGGCUGACCGGGAUAUGUCUGAUGCUUUGUCAGCUGAGGCCACAAGGGUUGUCUAACUUAUGAAUAUGAGUCCUCCCACUUUUUCUAAAGUGGAGAUGGAGGAAGAUCCACAAGGCUUCCUGGAUGAGAUGGAAAAUAUAUCUCGGGUGAUGCAGUCUACCAAUGGUAAGGGGUAAACUUUGCAUAGUAUGAGCUCAAAGAGGUUGUAUAUCAGUGGUAUAAAGAGUAGGAUAGGGAUAGAGGUGAUAUGGAAGAGGAAGGUUUGUAAGAGGCCUUUUCUAACACCUUCUUGGAUCAAUUCUUUUUCCAAGAGCUGGGGAAAGAAAAGAUGGAAGAGUUUGUGAACCUCAAGCAGGAGAGAAUGUCUGUCAAGGAAUAUGCCUUGAAGUUUUACCAGUUAUCAAGGUAUGUUCCUGAUUUAAUGGCUAGCAUGCGGGCUAGAAUGAGGAAGUUCAUUUCUGGGUUAAAUUGGGAUUUAUUUUGGAGAGCAAAAAUACCUUGAUGAUUAAAGAUAUGGACAUCUCUAGGUUUACAGUUCAUAUACAGUAAGUGGAGUAUGAGAAGAGGAAGCAGGCAGUGUUCAAAGAUAGGCAGGGAAAGAUGAGAAGGUUUUCUGAUCAGGAAGGUGCUCAAUCUUAUGGUGGUAGAGAUGGUGGCAAGUGGCAGAAAAAAAAAGAGUUCUGGUGCCUACUCUUCUGCUAGUGUUCCUUACCAGUCGAGCAACAGGCGACAUUAUGGUGGUGACAAUUCUCGGGCACAAGGUGCCUAAUCUCAGGCGAAUGAAGGUCAUUCAAUUUUUUGAUGUGGUCAUCCUCAUUGUGAUUAUUGAGAUGAAGAAAAGGAUAGAUGCUUCAGUGUGUCCAGACAGGCCAUCGACUCAGGAAUUAUCUGGUUAAUAAGGUUGCUAUGGGGGAAAAUAAGAUUUUUGUGGCUUCAUUUUCUGCUUCUACACCUAGUGGUGUAGCACCUUCUUCUAUUACUGCUCUUGGUUCUAGUGUUGGUUGAAAUAGUUUAUAUGCUUUGGCAUCCCAACAGGAAUUCGAGGCAUCACCUGAUGUCGUUACUGGUACGUUAUAGCUUUUUUCUUGUAACGUAUAUUAUUUUCUUAAUUCAGGGUUUACUCUUGCCUAUGUGACUCCUUAUGUGGUUAUAUCUUUUGGUUUUGAUCCAGAAGUUAUUUCGAAUUCUUUUUCUAUUUCUACCCCAGUAGGUGACUCGGUUAUUGCUAAUAGAGUCUAUAGGGUGUGUGUGGUAUAUGUUGGUGGAAAGCAGACCUUGGUGGAUCUGUUUGAGUUAGAUAUGGUGGAUUUUGAUGUUAUUCUGGGUAUGGACUGGUUAUACUCUUGUUACGCAGCUUUGAAUUAUCGGACCCGUAGGGUUAUCUUUAGGUUUUCUAGUGAAUUGGUUAUAGAAUGUGAGGGAGCUUCUUUAGCUCCUAUGGGGAGGUUUGUUUAUUAUCUUAGAGUUCGGAGGUUAAUCUCCAACAGUUGUCUUUAUCACAUGGUCCGAGUUAAAGAUUCUAACUCAGAUGGUCCUUCUUUCCAGUUAGUUCCAGUGGUUAAUAAGUUUUCAAAGGUCUUUCCAGAUGAUCUUCCUAGUGUUUCUCCAUAUAGGGAAAUAGAGUUUGGUAUUGAUAUAAUUCCGGAUGCUUAUCUAAUUUUUAUUCCUCCGUAUAGAAUGACUCCGGCUGAGUUAAGGGAACUCAAGGAGCAACUUAAGGAUCCUCUAUAUAAAGGGUUUAUUCAUCCUAGUAUAUCUUAUUGGGGUGAACCAGUGUUGUUUGUGUGCAAGAAGGAUGGUUCCCUUCGGAUAUGCAUUGACUACAGGCAGUUGAAUAAGGUGACGGUUAAGAACAAGUAUCCUCUUUCAAGGAUAGAUGAUCUGUUUGACUAGUUGAAAGGUUCCAAGUUCUUUUCUAAGAUAGAUCUUUGGUCGGAGUAUCAUCAUCUAAAGAUUAGGGAGGUGGAUAUCCCUAAGAUGACUUUUCAUACUCGGUAUGGGCACUUUGAGUUUCUGGUGAUGUCAUUUGGGUUGACUAAUGCUUCGAUAAUAUUUAUGGAUCUGAUUAAUAGGGUAUUCAGUCAGUAUUUAGAUCUCUUCAUCAUUGUGUUUAUUAAUGAUAUUCUGGUUUAUUCGAAGAGCAAGGUGGAUCAUAGUAAUCACCUUCGUAUGGUGUUAUAGACCUUAAAAGAACAACAGUUAUAUGCCAAGUUCUCCAAGUAUGAGUUUUAGUUGAACGUUGUGACUUUCUUGGGUCAUAUUAUUUGUAGUGAAGGGAUCGUGAUAGGUCCAUAGAAGGUUGCUGUGGUGAAGAGGUGGCCUAGACUUAUGAUUUCAUCCAAUAUUCGGAGCUUCUUAGGUUUAGCCGGAUAUUACAGACGGUUUGUGGAAAGCUUUUCAUCAAUAGUUGCUCCUUUGACUAAUUUGACUCAGAAGAAGGUUAAUUUUUCUUGAUCAGAUGCUUGUGAAUGGGAGUUUUAAGAAGUUAAAGGAUAAGUUAACUUCGGCUCCAAUUCUGACUUUGUCGGAAGACAGUGAUAGGUUCGUGGUUUAUUACGAUGCAUCUCGGGUAGGUUUUGGUUGUAUGUUGAUGCAGCAUGAGAAGGUGAUUGCCUAUGCUUCCAGACAUUUAAAGGUACAUGAGAGGAAUUAUCCUACUCGUGAUUUGGAGCUAUUGGCGGUUGUGUUUGCUUUGAAAAUAUGAGGGCAUUAUUUGUAUGGUGUCCACGUGGAUAUCUUUUCUGAUCAUAAGAGUCUACAGUAUGUGUUCACCUAGAAAGAGCUUAAUCUCAGGCAAGUAAAUGGCUUGAGCUUCUCAAGGAUUAUGAUAUGAGUCUUUACUAUCACCCACGUAAAGCUAAUAUGGUUAUUGAUGCUCUUAGCAGGUUAUUCAUGGGGAGUUUUGCUCAUGUAGAGGAAAGAAAACGAGAAUUGGUGAAGGAUAUUCACUGCUUGGCUAAUCUUAGAGUUCGUCUCUUAGACUUCAAGGAUGGCGGUGUGGUGGUGAAAGAAGUGGUUAGAUAGUCUCUUGGAGCGAAGAUUAAAGAAAAGCAAGUGUUGGAUUCUAUCUUAAUAAAAAUUAAGAGUGACAUUGGUGGGAAAAAGGUAGUGGUGUUUGAGAUCGGUGGUGCUGGUACUUUACGGUACCACGGGAGGUUAUGUGUUCCUGAUGUCGAUGGGUUGCGACAAAGGAUUUUGGCUGAGGCACAUGAGUCAUGCUAUGUUGUUCAUCUCGGCUUGACUAAGAUGUAUCAUGAUCUCUAAGAGAUCUAUUAGUAAAAAGGUAUGAAGAGGGAUGUGGCUGAUUUUAUGGUCAAGUGUAUGGUGUAUUAACAGGUUAAGGUUGAGCACAUGAGGCCAGGGGGGUUGUAUCAAGAAAUUGAUUUGCCCGAAUGAAAGUGGGAAGUAAUCAACAUGGACUUCGUUACAGGUCUUCCUCAGUCUCAAAGUUAAUAUGAUUCGAUUUGGGUCAUCAUGGAUAGGAUGACUAAGUUUGUGCACUUUUUGCUAGUCCGGCCUACUUUUUCUGUGGAGAAUUAUGUGAAGUUGUAUCUUCAGGAGAUGGUAAAGCUGCAUGGGUACCUGUUUCGAUUAUUUCUGAUUGUGGCACGCAAUUUACAUCUCACUUCUGACGGUCUUUCUAGAAAGGGUUGGGGACUAAGGUGAGUCUGAGUACUGUUUUUCAUCAGCAAGCGGAUGGGUAAGUGGAGAGAACUAAUCAGACAUUGGAGGAUAUGCUUCGAGCCUGUAUGAUUGAUUAUGGUAGAAAUUGGUUUAAGCAUCUACCUUUGGUGGAGUUUGCUUACAACAAUAACUAUCAUUCUUGUAUUGGUAUGGCCUUUUUUGAGGUAUUACAUGGUAGGAGGUGUAGAUCUCCUAUUGGUUGGUUUGAAUUUUGUGAGGCGGACAUGUUUGGUCCCGACUUGGUCUACCAGGCCAUAGAAAAGGUGAAGGUGAUUUGGGAUAGGCUUAAGGCUGCCCAAAGUCGCCAAAAGUCCUAUAUAGGUGUUAGGCGUAGAGACUUGGAGUUUAAAGUUGGGGAUAAGGUUUUCCUCAAGGCAUCUCCCAUGAAGGGAGUAGUGCGGUUUGGCAAGAAGGAAAAGCUCAGUCCCCGAUAUAUUGGUCCUUAUGAGAUUUUACAGAGAGUGGGUAAUGUUGCUUAAGAUCUAAAGUUUUCUUAUAUCUUGAGCUUAGUUCAUCCAGUCUUUCAUGUUUCUAUAUUGAGAAAGUGCAUUGGUGAUCCUUCUUCAGUUAUUCCUUUAGAAUGGUUGGCUCUCACAGAUUCUUUAUCUUAUGAAGAGGUUCCAAUUGAGAUCUUGGAUAGGUAGUUCGUCGAUUAUGGACAAAGGAUGUGGCUUCGGUUAAGGUUCUUUGGUGGAACCAUAAGGUGGAAGAAGCUACAUGGGAAUCAAAAGAGGACAUGAAGUCUAAAUAUUCGCAUUUGUUUUUUGUUCUUGGGAUUCUUGCAGAAGGUAUAUGUAUUCAACACGUCUUUGUUUUCAAAGUUUGUCAAAAGAAAGAUUUAUAUAUUUGCCUCUUUGUUUUUGAACUUUGUUAAAGAUUGGGAAUAUCUUUGAUAAUGCAAAUGACUCUAGCGUAUGGUUACCCUUACCUUGUCCGUCAUUCAGGGAUAAAUGUUCCCCUAGUGGGGAAGACUGAAACACUCUAGUUUUUGAACCUUUGAAAAUUUCUUGAAAUUCUAAUCUUUGAACCCAAUAUGACUCAUGAGUACGAGCCGUAUGUAGGGGUACGGAUGGCAUGGUCCAGUCGUAUACUGACCAGUGUUGGUUGGUGGGAUGGAUUUUGUUUACUAAAAUAGAUACGACUUAGGCGUAUGAGUCGUAUUGGUGGUUACAGAUUAUUUGGUUCCUUAACUUAAUCUUAGACUUGGUUAAUUAGGUUGGAUCUGAGUACAAGUGGCUCACCAUAAGCCGUAAGCCAGGGUACGAAUCGUACCAGGGACUUGUAUGGUAAACAGUGUCCAAUCCUCCUGGUAUUUUAUUCUGCUAGGGAUACGGGUCAUGGAUGAUUCGUAUAAUGGAAAGUGUUUUCAAGGGUUGAGGCUUGGAUACCAAUCGUAUUGGGAGGGUAUGACUCGUAAGGGUCAGUCAUAUCCCUACGAUGGAAUUUUGGGCAACUUAAGUGAGGGUAUUAUAGAUAUUUUCCUACUUAUCCUAUUAGGGUUCCAUGACUUCUAACCUACCUAGAAGGUUAUUUAUCCUAAUAUUCUAUUCAUUAACACUUAGAAACUCUUCCUAAGCACUUCAUAAUUCUCUUAAGAGCUAUUGGGAAAGGAAAGCUAGGGUUUUAACUAGGGGAUUAUCUUGGUGAUUUCUUUCCAUCGUCAUCUUGGUUUAAGGCAUAUUUCUCUCCACUCAUUGUUAAUUUAUUUAAAGGCAUGGUUUAUAUGAAUGUUUUCAUGGCUUUAUGAUUGUAUGGCUUUGGCUUUCAAAUAUGAUUUUAUUUGGGAGGGGGGUUGAUGUUAAUUGCUUGGUUAUGGUUUCUCGUGGUUUUAAUUAUGCUUUUAUAUGCAUUAAUAGUGGUUUUGGAUAAUUGGAUUGAAUGAGAAUGGUUUAUUAGUAAUUGGAAUUGGUUUUGGUUAUAUUAUAUCCCCAAUGUGUUUGACAAAAUGCUUAUAAAGAUAUGUUCAUUGCAUUGACUUUUUUUAAGGGAACUCUUGCAUGUUUUAAACUUGGUAAAAGAACUAUGCAUGUUUUAACUAGUUUUGAAAGGCUAAAGGCUAGGUGCUUAUAGGGAACAUGGAAGUCUCCCAAGUGGUUUAAAACGGUAAAUGGAAAGGCACUUGAAAGUCUCUUUAAACCUAUAAAUGGUUGGCUAUGGAUGAUACUUGCAAGUAAGGGUUGGUAUGACGAUACCAAUAUCAAUUGCCUUGAUUAAUAAAUGGAUAAUGGUUUGGUUAUUUGGAAAUUGAUUUUAAUUGGGCAAUAAUGGUGGUAUGUAUAGCAAAGCCGUGGAAGGUGGAGGUAUCGAGGGGACCGAAACUAGAAACUCAUACUUACUGAUAUGAGGUUGGUCUUGGUGACUGUGUGCAAGAUGUCACACUUUGUUUUUAGGAUGUACUAGUCAUCCCAUGGGAUACUUCGUUGGUCAUGCGUCUACACACACUCGGGCUCUUUCAAUAGGGGGAGUUGAACCCAUAUAGCCUAUGGGUGGUUUAAGACAGCAAAGCUACACAACCCAGGUAAAGGUUUUAAAAGCAGUCUAAAACCGGGACCAAAACUAGAAACUCAUACUUGUCGAUAUGAGGUUGGUCUUGGUGACCGUGUGCAAGAUAUCGCACUUUUUCUUGGGGAUGUACUAGUCAUACCAUGGGAUACUUCCCUGGUCACGCACUGGGGCCCUUUCAGCAGGGAAAGUUGAACCCAUAUAGCCCGUGGGUGGUUUAGGAUGGCAAAGCUACACAACCCAGGUAAAGGUUUUAAAAGCAUGCUAAACUCGGUCCCAUUUUCCGGCAUGGAUAUAUAUAUAUGUGUGUGUGUGUGUGCGUGUGUGUGUGUAUAUGAUUGUAUGCAUCAUGGAUGGUUUUACUUGGUUUUAUAAAUGGCAUUAUUUUAUCCUUACCCUGAGAUCAUACUAGUAGUCACUCGUUAACCCUGGCAGUUGUAUACGCACGCUAUACAAGAACCAACCGUUCUACUCCAUCUCGUACAUAGUGAUUAACUCGGGGACAGUAUUUGGACUGAAAUAGUGAGCUUCUAUCCUUUCGAAAGACAUUAUUUCAUGUUAUGAUAUUUUUAGACAUUUUGACUUUAUUUUAGAUAUUGGUUUUGGCUAUAAUUGGAGGCAUGUCCAAAUCAGAUUUGAUUAUUCUUUUGGAUAGAGGCUUUGUGGUACUUCUAUGGGUUGAAAUGGGUAGGAUCGGUAUUGGUGUUGGCUUUGGCAUUGGAAUAAGCCGGUGGGCUGACAUCAUAGGACGAUAUUAUUGUUUGUUCCAUCCUAUUACAUUUUGGGAUUAAUUAUAUUAUGUUUUGGAACAUCCUUGGUUAUGGUCUGGUUUAUGGCAUUUGUUUGGUAAUGUUUGGUAAGGUUGGACUAUUGGUAUGGAAGGGGUGCACUAAGUUGGGUUGGUCACGGUUGUGAUCUAUUCCCAGAGUCCUUAUGUGAGCUGUUACACUAUUUUGUUACAUGCUUGUAAUUCAGCUAACUUAGGGAAGGUGGCUAGAGGUUGGGUUGGGUAACGGGGGUGGUCUCCUAUCUUGGUUGGACUUGGGAUGCCUAUUAUGACAAGGCCCCAGGGCAGGUAGUGUUAGAAAUUCAAAAAUAGAGGUCCAUUUCUUCAUCAAAAGUGGCAUCCCAUUCAUAUAGUAUGGUCCACAAGACAAGAUAUUAACCUUGUCCUAAGUAUGUUUAAAUUUGUCAAUGUAGAACCCUUUCUCAUGAUAGAACAACUCAUGCAUUGAUACAGUAUUCCAAACUUUAGCUAUAUAUGAUUUCAAAUAUGCAUAACUAGGAGCCUCUCCCAUAGUGUACAAGAUCAAAGCACUACUCUAUUCAUUCAUAUAAUAUGUUACAUCUUCUUUUUUCUAAUGUAACAGUUAUUUUUCUAUCAAUCACCAUUGGAGCAACAUAAGUGAGAGACAUACCAUGUGCUGCAGUACGAUUUUGUGUAAAUAAGCUUACCCAAUUUGCCUCUACACCUGUCCCUUUCUGCUUUAGCUGAGAUCUCUCUGGUAUAGAGCUUACUGGCCUUGGAUUCAUAAAAUUACUCAAACUUUCUUCUUCCUGAGCUUUGCUAGACGCUGUUUGCUUUCCUUUGUCACUCAGGUGUAUCAGAUCUGCAUCAUCCUCUUAUAAUGUCAACUCAGUUACAGUUUUAUUAGUUACUAUAAUCUUACUUGCUUCGAAUUCAUCCACUUCUUCCUCUAAGUCUCGAAUUGGUGCAUCGUCCUCCGCAUCCUUAGUUUCUUCCUAACCUCAAUCUCCUUCUUCUGUGGUCGAGCUCUGAUACGCCCAAAUUACACCUCUCUUAUGAGAGAGUAAGCGAUUGCUGUUAAAUAUAGAACCCAACUGGGUUGGGUGUUGAAUCCCACAGAGAAUACCAUGUUUACUAAGUAUUGUGAAUAUUAUUAGACUGUUGAUCUAAGGUUCCUGAGUAGAAGGGAGUUUGAAUGUGUUAACAAUGUUCUUUUGUAUUUGUGUCACACAAAAGUCCAGCUACUGAGAGUUAAUGUAGAUGUAAUUUCAAUGAGAAUGAAUUAACUAGAGUUAUGCUCACUAAGAUAUUCAAACAAUUAGGGUUGUGAGUUUGUGUUUGAAUUCUAACUUAUGUAUUCAAUUGCAAGAAUUAUUGAAUUCUAAGGAUUACCCACGUGUUUCUCAACCUAAUGAGUAUUUCACCCUUUACUUCUCUCGAACUUAAAGGAUUCAUGCAUUAUUUAAUAACACUCUCAUGAGGGUUGAUCCUGUUAAGGCAUCAACCCAUUAACCCCAAAGGAUAAACCUUUGGAGUUCAUGUGAAUCACUUUUUUCCCAACAUCCACUUUCUUGUCAGACAAGUGGAGUUCAUGGGCUCACUUCUCAAGUUUGCAACAAGAGAUGUCAUUAUAAUGAAGAAAGAUUCUUGCAAUUUCGAUAGAUGUUAGAAAUCAAACCAAUUCACAACCCCAAAAUAGUUCUCUACAUCAAGGCUCCCAUAACCCUAGUUAUGAGAGUUUAGCUACUUAUCUCCAUCUAAGAAAUCAAAGAUAUUUUGAUGUUCAUAAAUGACUUCAAUAGGGCACUUACAAAAGUCACAAUAUUGUUCUUCUCAAUCUUCAAUGGAAAAUAUAAAAACUAAUAAUCAAAUCUCAAUCUCUAGAUUCAAAUCUCAAUGAAAAGUGUUACACAACUGUCAAUAGAGGAGAAAGUAUGAAACUAAUGAUAUAGGAUACGGACUAAACCUUAAUACUUAGUAUUUAUAUAAUUUCAAAACUGGGGUUUUAAAAUUCAAACUCAGAUUUUUUGCUUUAUGGUCGACGGGUUAAGCUACGGUUCGUCGCAGGUCCGAUGGUCCGUCACCUGCACCGUCGCUGGGUCUCCAGUGACUUCAUUCUCUGCUUCUGGGAGACGGGUAGUGCGACGGCCCUUCACAAGGUCGACGGUCUAUCACCUGGAUCGUCGCAGGGCUUCCAGUGAUUAUGCGUUCUGUAUCUUGGCAACAGUUCAUCGCAGAGCCGACGGUCUGUCACCUGGACCGUCGCAGGAUGUUCAAAUUCUAUGACAUCUGAUUUUGGUUGAUGGUUUAGACCGACGGAUCAUCGCAAGGUGACGGUCCGUCACCUAAGCCAUCGCUGCUCAUGUUACCUCUGUUUUGCUCAGAUUGUCCAAGUUAUCUUUCACACUCAGUUCUUAUCCUGAAAGCACUAAAAUACCAUGUUAAAUACAACAAUGGCUGCUUGAAAACACACAAUUAUCCUAAGAAAAAGACCUAAAAUGUUCUAUCAAAACCCAGAACAUCAAACUCGUCCUCAUCUCGCCAUCGAUGCGCACGUUAGCAAGAAGGGAUAAACAUGUGUUGGGAGAAAAGAAUUUUUCUAAUUCAAAUUAACUUUUAAAUUAGUUGAAUUGGCGAAUCAAAAUUAGUUGAACUAAUAUUAUUUGGUUUUGCUAGUUAGAGGAGCAGACAAGAUGCACUUUUAUCAACCCUAAUUUUAAAUUAAAAGUCCAUCUGGUCAUGAAAUUUUUUUACCUUUUUCUGAAGUUGUGGAAACACAUUUACCCAUUAAAUUUUUAAAAAUUUUGCUAUUACUUUUUCACCUAAAUAAUCCAUAAUAAAAAAAAAACUCUAAUUCAUUUCAUCAUUAAACAUAACUCUAAUUUCUAAAUAUCAUUUUUCAUUUUACAAAUAAUUUUUUUUUAUUUUUACAAUGAAACAUGGUCACACACCUAGUAAAUAUUUUUUAUAAAUUAAAAGUGUACUUAAAUAGCACAUAUAAAUCGGCUACCGAGUGUACUUCCUAAAAAUGAAAUGGAAGAGAAAAUAAGCAGAAAAUUUCAUGUAUGACUCCCAUAGUUGGUUGCUUUAUUUUUUUGUCCCCUAUAAUAAAAGUCUUUAAUGACUAGCCUUCUUUCUUUUUAUAUAUAGAAUGAGUACAUUUUUAUCCUUCUACAUCACAAAAUAUUUUUACACUUUUCAUACUCAUUUGUCUCUCAACUUUAAUUUUUAUUUUUAUUUUUAUUUAUUUUUAAUUUCUUUCUUAAUUUUUUUUCAUAUUUUAAUUUAUUUGUCUCAACCUUUAUUUUUUUUCUCAAAUAUUAUUUAUUUUUUUUUUAUUUUUUUUAAUUCAUUUGUCUCAAUCUUUAUUUUUUUUAAUCUUUUGUGUUUAUCUUUUCUCAUUUUUUUUCUCAAACUUUAUUUUUAUUUUUUUCUUCUCAACUUUGUUUUUCUCAAUCUUUUUUUUAUUAUUAUUUUUUUUAUUCUUCUCUUUCUUCUUUUUUCUUUUUUCUUUUUUCUUAACCUUUUUUUUUUCAUUUUUUUUUCUCUAUCUUUAUUUUUUUUUCUUUCAUCUAUUUUUCUUAUCUUUUUAUUUUUUGUCUACUUCUAUUAUAUUUUACUAAUAAACAAAAAUUGGAUAAUUGCCUCUAAAAAAAAAUAUAGAACAUUUCAUAAAUCGACACAAUAUGAUAGUGUCAACACUUAGCCAUGGAGCGUAACUUGUUGUUUGAAGUCCUUUACCUGAGUCUUGCUUCUGAGGCAAGAGUUAUAUAACAUCUCAUAAAUCAAAAUAUAAUGUGAUAGUAUCAAAUCUUGUCCAUGGAGUGUAACUUAUUGUUUGAAAGUCUUUGGGCUAAGUAUUGCCUUUAAGGCAAGAGUUAUAGAGCAUAUCAUAAAUUAAAAUAUAAUGUGUUAGUGUCAACUCUUACUCAUGGGGCAUAGCUUAUUGUUUGAAAGAUAUCAAUGAAAAAAAUAGAAAAUAGAAAAUAAUACAAGUUGAGGAAAAUAAUAAUAAUAAUUUUUUUAAGAAAGGAAAAAAUAAAAAUUAGAGAAAAUAAAAAAGAGAAAAAAAAAGAGCUGAGAGGAGAAAAGGGAGAAAAUGCAAGUUGAGAAAAAAAGAAAAAAACAGAGAAAGAAAGGAUAAAAAAUAAAAAAAUAAAUAAAGUUGAGAAAAAUAUAAACCAACAAAGUAUAAAAAGGAGAAAGAAAUAUUAAAAAAAUAGAAGUUGAAGGAGAAAAGGAAAAAAAAGUAAAGAUUGAGAAAGCAUUAAAAAAAGAGAAAAAAAUAAAAAUCAAUGUAAAAUAAAUAUUUUUCAUAUAUAUGUUGGAACGGAUGCAAAAUCUUUCUUGAGAGCUAAUUGAAUGUAUAACUGAUGUCUUGCGUUAAUUUUAUAUAUAUAUCAAAUAAAAAACUAAUAAUACAGACAAAAAAUAUAUUUUUUUAGUACACUCUACCAAACGAUCCCUAAAUUCACCCACUAUAGCUGUCAUUUUUAUAGUUUUGCCAAACUAACUGUGGGUGGUGGGUCACUCAAACCCAGUGGCCCAAUACUUUGAAUUUGAAUACUUUAUUAAAACGGAGACCGCCCUUUGAGAAUUUGAAUUUGAAUAACUAAUCUCAAAACCCACUUUUUCUUCCAACGGAUACAGAGUGAGCGAGAGUGUGUGCGUGUGUUACAAAGGGUAAAAAACAUUUUUGAAUUUUGGAGUUUGAUCUUCACCUAAGGUUCGUAAAUCUUAUUCUUCAACCAGCGGAAAUUAUCAAAGGUAUUUGUGUAAAUAGAUAUAAUCCAUGUAAUCCUUCUUGUUCUUUCUUCUAUGCAACUACAUAAUUCUUUGACUUCUUUUUUGUGUUUUUUAGUCCAUUUUCGUUUAAAAAGGAAAAAUUGGGGUGGUGAAAGUGGAUGCCAAGGUUUAGGGUAGUAGGUUAGUAGAUAGUAGUGUGUUGUCUUGUUAUCUGUUCUUAUACUAGUAUUUGUAGUAUUGCUCAUAUACUAGUAUUGUUUCGUGUACUUCAAUUAUUGUACUAGUUUGCUUUAUUUUGCUUUCACUUUCGGUAAUUUUUUAUUUUGAUUGCUUUGAAUUGUUUUUUUCUUGAGCCAAGGGUCUACCGAAAAACAACCUCCCUGGGUAAAGUUUGCAUACACUCGAACCUCUCUAAACUCCACUUUAUGGGAGUACACGGUAUGUUCGUUGUUGGGGUAGGUAAAGUGGAAAUGAGGUGGGGCAUGGGGGGAUUAUAAGGUGGGAACUCGAAACCUCACCAAAAAAGUUUAAGUUGAGUUAGUCAACCAACUCAUCUACUAAAAUCACACCCUUUUUUUUUCUGAAAAAAUAAAAAUUGGGGGUAGGAGAAAGGGGAAGGGGAUUACAAGGUAGAAAAUCGACCUCACCGGUAAGAUGAAAGUUCAGGAAGCAAAUCCACUAAGCUACUAAGAUUUCUCCCAUUUUUGGAUUUACUUUUGUUGUAAGUAUUAUUUUAAAAAAAAAAAAAAAAAACUUAAUGAUCUUAGUCAUUCUUACUCUAAAUUUGAUUAUUCUUACCAGAAAAGAGGAGGAUUUAAGUUGUAUUAUCACAUAUCUAUUCGUACUGUGUUCUUAGGUAAGAGCUCCUAGUCAGGAGAGUUUGGGUGUGGAGGGUGUCUCUGGCCUGUGAGUGUCUGUUACUACUAGGUGGGUGUCGUUUUUCGGAUGCCCUAUUUCUUAUCUCUUAUUGCACAUUGCACUUGGUUACCUUAUCUCAUAUUGCUUUGAUUUAUAUUUAUGUCUUAAUCCUUUUUAUUUGAUGUUAUCCAUCUUACUUCAUGUUUCAUUACGCUUUUGUUUAUUAUUCCUUAUCUUGAGCCGGGGGUCUAUCGGAAACAACCUCUCUACUUCUUUGGAGGUAGCGGUAUGAACUGAGUACACUUUACUCUUCCCAAACCCCAACUUGUGGGAAUACACUGGAUUUGUUGUUGUUAUUGUUGUUGUAUCACAUAUGUAUUAGUAGUUUUAAAGCAUAAUGUCAGCGAAUAGAACUUGAAGCCUAAUUUAAAUGGAUGGUUAAGUUAGGAAUUUGGUAUAAUAUUGAUUAAAGGGAACGUUUUGGUAUUAAUGGAGCUGAGUUCUUUCUGGAAUUGAUGAGUUUUUUGUAUUAAAUAGUUAAAAUUCCUCAAUUUCUGAGGUGCUUAACUGAUAAUUACCUAACUAAAUGAAGUUAUCAGUUUUAGAAAAAUAAUAAUAAUUACAUAACUAAAUAAGGGCUUUUCUCAAAAAACUUAUUCACAUUCUUGGGUAGGUGCUUAACCACUUUCAGAUACGCAAGAUCGAUAAACAAAGAUUAAAAGAAAAGGGAUAUAUCCCCAUGAUAAUGAAUUAUUCAUAGAACAAGUCAAAGUGUACAACAACAACAUACCCAGUGAAAUCCCACAAGUGGGGUUUGGGGAGGGUGGAUUGUCGGCAGAUUUAUCCUCUCAGAUCACUCUGCCUGUGUGAGCUCGUUCACAUUAUCGGUCCGAAGCCUGGAUAAAGGAUGAGGGUUGCCUACGGUCUAUCAGAAACAAGCCACUCUAUCCAAUAAAGGGUAGGGGGUAAGGCUGCUUGCAUCUUACCCUCUUCAGACCCCAGUUGUGACCUAUGGGAUUACACUGAGAUUUUUGUUGUUGUUGUUGAUUUAUGCUCUCAGUUGCAAAACCUUGAAUGAGUUCAAACUUUUUCUUAAUGUUCCUUACAGAGGUAGAUGAGUUGUUCCAUAAAAAGAAGAAACAUUUGUUCAAAAUAUUAAUCUGGGAUGCUGUUUAUUGAAAAAGUUAGUACUUUGUUCGACAAGACUACAAUUUUAAAAUGCUGAUGUCAUUUAUUUUAUUGUUGUUAAAUAAACAGGUUCUGUUGUCCCCCGGCAUUAAUAUGCAAAUGGAUGGUCUUAAAACAUGUCAAACAGAAAACUAUUCAACUCCUGGGAAAGUACAGCAGCUAGAAUCCUCUGUGGUCGCGAAAGUUAGAGUUAUUGUUAGAGUUCGCCCCUUUCUUCCUCGAGAAAGAAACUCUAUAGAUGGAAAAACAAUCUCUUGUGUUUCUGUUCUCAACUCAGAAUGUCAGUCUUCUGAUGAUGUUACAGUUCAUCUCAAAGAUCAUGAAACUAGGUAAUUUUUUCCUCAAUUGUUGGCAUGUUCUAAGAUUAAAUCUGUCACCAGAACCUUAUCCUGGGUACCCUUUUGUUUUUGACUGUAGUCGUAAUGAAUGCUACAAGUUGGAUGCCUUCUUUGGUCAAGAAGAUAACAAUAUAAGUCAAAUAUUUAGCAAAGAAAUCAGUCCUUUGAUCCCUGGGAUAUUAGAAGGCCGCAAUGUCACGGUAUUUGCUUAUGGUGCUACAGGGAGUGGCAAAACUUACACCAUGCAGGUAUGUUUUAUUUGUCUGCAUAACACACAAUUUGCUUCAUCACUCCUGCAAUUGGAUUAGAUGCUAAAAUAUACACGCGGAGUAGGAGACAUAGAGUUUUAAGUUAUAAUGGACUCAAUGUUUCUUUUCAAGUCUUCCGCUGUUCUACAACUUCUGUAACAUAGAUCCACGAGUGAUCAAAGGACAUAUUGGACUUUUCAGAUUGCAACCAUGCAUAAGCUUAGCCCAUAUAUGCAGCCAUUUGGCCUUAACCUAAAACUUUUCCAUUUGACCUCUUCAAAGAUAUGUAUGUCAAGUAUAUAGUUCCCUUCAGGCCUUCCUAAUUCCUGGAUGUGCAUGUGAAUUGUUUUGAAAAACCUUGUUGCUGAUGCAGGGAUCUGAAAAUCUCCCUGGUCUAAUGCCACUUGCAAUGUCCUCUAUUCUCUCGAAGAUUCCAGGGAAAAGUACCAUAACCAUUUCAUACUAUGAAAUAUACAUGGAUAGGUGCUAUGAUCUACUUGAACUUAAGGAGAAGGAAAUCUUGAUAUUGGACGACAAAGAUGGGCAGAUUCAUCUCAAAGGCCUUGCACAAGUUGCCAUUAGUUCAACGUCAGAGUUUCAAGAAGCAUUUUCCUGUGCAGUUCAGAGGAGAAAGGUUGCACAUACGGGUGUUAAUGAUGUCUCCAGCAGGAGUCAUGCAGUGCUCACAAUUUAUGUUUCUACUCCAAGCUGUGAUGAUACUGGAAAUGUCAUCACUGGGAAGUUGAACCUUAUUGACUUGGCAGGUCUUAAAAAUUUACUAAACCUAACCAUGAAUUGUUGUAAGAAUAUUGAACUGAAAAGUAACUCACAUGCUGUAACUCUAAUGUCACUGAAUUAGGAAACGAAGACAAUAGACGAACUUGCAACACUGGAAUUCGUCUACAAGAGAGUGCUAAGAUCAACCAGUCCUUAUUUGCACUGUCAAAUGUGAUUUAUGCAUUGAACAACAAUCAACCACGAAUACCUUAUAGAGAAAGCAAAUUGACAAGGGUAUUGCAAGACUCUCUUGGAGGAACAAGCCGUGCUUUGAUGAUUGCUUGCUUGGUAGGAUAUUGUAUACAUCAUCUCUUGCCUUUGAGUUCCAUGAAUGCAACACUGUUCUUAAGAUUGCCAACUAUUUUCAUUUGUUCAUAGAACCCUGGAGAGUACCAAGAAUCUCUUCAUACAGUUAGCCUGGCAGCCAGGUCAAGACAUAUAUCCAAUUUUGUUGCCUCAGCACAAAAAGGAGAUACUCCAAAGGUCAAAGUAGACAUGGAGGCAAAGCUUCGUGCAUGGCUAGAAUCUAAAGGCAAGACAAAAAGUACUCAGAGAAUUGGGGCAUUUGAUUCUCCAUUUACAAGCAAAACUCCAAGUUCCGUAGGUUCUACUAGGAAGCUAGGUUUGUUUGGGAGCUCCUCCAAGCAAAAAUCUAUCAGUAAUCAAGGCGCUUCAAGCAUAAAAAAGAAGUAAGAGAUUACUCUAUGAUCUUGCUUAUUUCUCUAUUACUCUAUUAUCUUGCUGGAUUUACCUGCCUUUGAUUUUGAUGAUUGCUUAACUGUGUUGAACAGGGAUCCAGAUGGAGCUUGUAGAAAUUUAUUUAAAAAUGGACAUCGAUCAAACUUAGUAGUGGAGGUAAAAAAAAAUGAGAACUAUAAUUUCUUCCUAGCUCGUUUUGAGUUUAUGAUGAAGCUAUUUGCUUUAAAUUGAAUAAAAUUCAUUUACGACAGACUCUAUUCAUUGUAGGUCUUUUUUUAAACUUAGCUACUGUAUAUGUGAUUUGAUUUUGAAUGAAAAUGAACCGGUAACCAUGAAACUUCAGUAUAGGAUUACUCAACUUUGUGUUGAUGUAACUAAUGUCUGAUAGCUUGAUAAGCUCUCAAAGGAAACAACAAUUCCUAAAUUUUGGUCAUCCUUAUCACAAAGAAAAUCACUCAGUUUGGUAUGUGAUAAUUAAUAGCUAAGAAGAAUUUUAAUAUAAUCUUUUGAAAGGACAACAGAACAAUUUGACCACACUUUUCAUUAUGGAAGAAUUGGAUUUAAUUAAUAAAUCGUUUUAAGUUGGAUUUCUGCAUUGACGUGCAAAUGCAGGCUUGGGACCUUGCUGAUACUGGUGGACAAAGAGGAGCGAAGAAAUUUGAAGUUUUCUCUGAAAGGGUUGUGCCUGAUUCUAAUACAGCAGUAAAUGGUACUUUUUUAAAAAAAAUUUCUAACCCAGCCUUCAUUGAUCAUUGAUGUGCAAAAAGUUAGAAGUUAAGUCUGGCAUCUCAAACUGUAUACAAGAUCAUUGAGAUGAGGCUAAUAUAGAAGUGUUAAUCCUACCCAAAAAAAGCCUAAGAGGCCAAGGACUCUAAGGGGGGGUCGUAUACAAUGUCGUUAUCCGUAACGUCUUUGGUUCUUAGGGACGGGAUACCCAUCUAUCCAAGUUGGUAGGACCUUUCACUUCGAGGGGCAAGACAGCGAAGGAGUUGAAAAUUUGAAUCUCACUACUUCUAUGACUCAAAUAGGAGAGCUUGUCAGCGGGCUUAUUAGCCUCUCUAAAGCAAUGAGUAAUAUGGGAGUCACUAUCUUCAACUAGUUUCUGAAUAUCAUCAACAAUUCUAGUUGUCUUCCACGGAGUCUUCCAAACUUCUUUAUGCAAUUCGGUAGAAGAAGAGAGUCAGUUUCUCCCCAAACAGGUCUGGGGUCAUUAUUCAAGCACCACCUCAAGCCAAAUAACAUAGCAGCAGCUUCGACAUAGUUGCUGGAACCUGGGCCUAAUGGUAUCACGUAGGCAAAAACAAUCUUUCCUGCGCUAUCUCUUACCAUUCCACCUUCCCCACAAUUUCCAUUAAUACAACUUCCAUCACUGUUGAGUUUUAACAAAUUCACUUGAGGUCUAAUCCACUUGACGAUGGUAGCUUUUGUUUGAUGUAUAUCUCGAUCACAGGCCUGGCGGAUUGUGUUCCGAGUGUCUCCAAUCCUCGCACUCUCAAAUCUCUUCCUCAAUAACUGCAAAAGUUUGAAUAAUGCAUUAGAGGAGGAUUGGUAUAAUGAAGGUCUUUCUCCUUCAUAUUUAUUAGGACAUCUGGCGUGAGAUUGGUAUAAUGAAGGUCUUUCUCCUUCAUAUUUGUUAGGACAUCUAGCAAGCCAGAUUUCCCAACAAAUAAAUGCAGGAAUAAUUUUCAUUAUAGUGAGCAAAAUGGGUUCUUGGUUUUGUGGUUCCACCAAUUGAGAAGGGUGAACUUCAAAUUGGGGUCACUCGUGCUUAUCCAUAGAGGACCUGCAAAAAAUGACCAUAACCAUAUCUCAGUUUUUGCAGUCUGCUUCAUGUAUUCUUCAUAUUAUUCUAUGUAGCUUACUCAUAUUAAGCUAACAAGCACGUGACACUCUCCAACUAUAUAUGUGCCAAAGCUAGUUCUAGUGUUCUCUAUUAAUUCUUGCAACAUCUAGACACUUUUUCAAUGAUGUUGGUGCCAAAGCUAGUCCUCUAUUUUUCUAUCGAUGUUCUCAUAGAGAGUCAUUGAAUAGCUAGUUUAUUAGCAAACUUUCGCUGAUAUACCUAAAACGUUUGAUCUAUCUGACCUGGCUUAUUUUCAUGGUAUUAGGUGUUCGUUGAGUUUCUUACUUUUUAAUAUAAGAUUGCACAUCCCUUUGCGUGACUUGUUAUAAUUAAAUUUUCAUUUUUCUUGAACUUGCUCCGUUUUAGAUUAGCCAAUCUCAGGCGGCCCAUUUCACAAAGAUUUUAAUUAGCCGAUCCCACUGAGCUCCCGGUGUGCUUUCCCCCUCUUUAAAGUAGUUUAAGGGUCGUUACAAAAUCAUUUUCCCCCUCCACUAUAAAAUUGAACCUGAAAAUAGCUCUCAUCUUCGUGUUCUUUCACUUAAACUAGGAGGCAUUCAUACUACUAUCACAUCCCUAACCCCAUAAGCCAUUUAAACCAAUGUCUAAAUCUUUUCAUUUACAUAUGUAACUCAGUUGGAGUUUAUUUGUCUCAUCUUCUCUAUUUGCAGAUAGCUGUGAAAAUUCGUACUUGUUAAAAAUUUUCAAUAUGUAAAUAUAAUAUAUCUUGCAUACCAGCAUUCAAACAAAAUUUGAAGAUUUUUGUCUGUUUGGUCCUCGUGUAGAUGUACAAACCAAUGCAGAGGAGAAAGUGACCAUCGUUGAUUGUUUCAACUCCCUUGGAGCAUGUGAGGUUACUCCUAGGAAUGUCCUUUCUCCCAUCAACUCCAACAUCAACAAUGAGAAUUUGUUAGCGAAGGAUCAAACACACCUCAUCUGCAAUCAGCAGACUCCCAUGUCAUCCUUUGCUUUAAGCAGUUUUGAUGAGAAUAUACCAGCAUUAGGAACUCCACUGGAUAAAUUCAGUGCACGAAGUUCUAACUUAAAGGUGAGAAGGGACUCCUGUUGUCGUUAUAUUCUGAUCUAAGUUGCUCGGGCUCUCCAAAUAUGUUGCCACACCAGUAUCAGAUUCUUCAAAAAUACACUAUUCUCGAAGGAUCCGAGAUGCACCCGUCAACAUUUUUGGAGUCCUAUAAACAUAGAUUCUGAUUGUUUAGCAUUUCUGGUUAUAAUAAUUAUCUCUGUUGAGUAUACAGAACUCUCUUGUCCAAGAGUACAUUGAGUUAUUGAACACAGCCAGCAAGUGAGUGUUAUUCUCUGUCUUCAUUUCCCUUUUACGUUUUCCAUUUCUUCUUUCUUCAUGGAGAAUUAACUUUGUUGUGUUACAUUACAUUGUGUUAGGGAGGAACUCAUGGCGAUAAACGUACGCUAUUGAUCUCUUCACUCUAUUCUAACAUUGUCAUCACUAUAUCAGCAAUGAGUUUUGAGUGCAUUUUCACAUGAUUCUAACGUUGUCAUCGCUUAUAGUUACUGUAACCUUGACUGCAUCUUUCAUAUCAUCCAGGGGAUUGGACAAAAGAUGGCUGAAUACAUUAUUGAUCUAAGGGAAACAAGUCCCAUGAGAUCAGUAAGAAACUCUUUCUUAAGGUCUAUGACGUUGCAUAUUCUUGGUUUAGGACUGAAUAAAACUAAACCUACUUACCUGAUUUGUGCAGCUAGAUGACUUGGAGAAGAUUGGACUGACAUCAAAGCAGGUAAUGCUGUGCAAUGUAUCAUUUGCAUUUCCAUUUUACUUUCUUAGUGUCAUUGCAGUAUAUGCAGCGUUUCUAUAGAGUAAAUGUGAGUUUAUGGAGUAAUAAUGAAGUGUUUUGCCGAUACCCCUAUAGGUUCAUAACUUAUUCAGGUGGGCUGCGAGAGGAGUACUGGGAUGAAAAACUUCUCUGCAACACCUUGUUUUAGGGACAUGUAGAUGAAACAUUGUGUUUCUGGCUAGAACUUCAGUUGUAUUGUAGUAUUAUUUAUGAGUAAUUGGAUUUGAGAGCUUGUAUUAAUUACCUUUCACCCCCCUCAAAUGACGGUUCUCAGUCCCUGUUGUACCAAUUCCAAUCAUAGAUUGUUCAGAAUUUCAGCAGUUCAUAGUUAUUACUCGUUUAUUGAGUUGCAGCUAUCACCAGAUUUCUCCAACUUGUACGUUCCAGAGAAAAAUUGACGCAAAGGCUAGUUUAGAACAAUGUCAUCUAGUUAUUUUCGUGCUGUUGCAGCCUCAAUACAAUUCUGACCGUCCUUUCUCUUCUUUUACGUGCAACCCUUGAUGUUUUAAUCCUUUGCUCCUUCCUUUUCUUGCUCUAUUGCGUUAUUGAAUAGCCUCUGAACCACCCCAUUAUUAGCAGCGUUCCUUAGGGAGAGGUGUCUAAACUAAUACUUAUUUUUCAGACUUAACAGGAUGGACCAUUGCAAUAGUUAUCGAUUUGGCAUUCAGAUAUAUCCCCCAUCUCUUAAAUUCAUCUUAGUUUAAUUCAAAAAAAUAGUAAUCUAAACCUUCUUCAGAGACGCAUAAUAUCACAGCCACCUCACUUUUUGAGUCGACAAUGGCCUUAAGGUGGGUGGCACCACCCUCCACACAAGCACCGCCUGGUGAAGGGGUAGUGAGGAAAGCUAUAGACCCAAAACCUUCUAACUUCCUUUCUAAAUGGGAGUGCCCAAGGCCACCCUCAUCUUCUAAUUUCAUAGUUGCUUAUUCCCAUUAGGCCAGAGUACACACCAACCAUUACAGCCCAAAGAAAUAGAAUGAAUAGUUUUCAGUUCAAAAAGCAAAAUAGAGAGAGGAAUCAAACUGCACUAUUUUCUCAAUAAGUGAACAGAUAAAGGAUCAGAUACCUGCACGAUAACGAAUACUCACACAUCUAACAAGAUUAGCAAAGAAUCUAAAACGAAUGAACUGUCACUACCACUAAUCAGUUCUUGAUAUUUGUGUUGGAUUUAUUAAAAAAACCAACAAUCACACAAAAAAUGGUAUAUUAGGCAUAUACCAGAUAAGGAAAAUAAUCACUUUUUCAUGAGAUUUACUAAUCCUGAAACUAUUUUACUCCCAACUGUACUAAAAUGGUGAAAGUGGGAUAAUAUAGUCGCAUGAGAUAUCCAUACUUAUUCCAUCUCGGGUAAGAAACGACAAGGUUAUAAUGAACAGACAGAAGCACAAGGAAAUGGAAGAGUUUAGGGAAAUAUUACCAAGGAAGUUCUUAAAUUAGCUGAAAGCACAACAUACUUCCAAACUAGUAUGUUAAAAUUACCAGAUGCAGAGAAUGCUCAUGUUACACAAACACCACAUUACCACUACUUACAAACAUGUUUCAAUACUCCAUUACUAUUUCUUAUUACAGGGAAAAAAAGAACAACACAAUCUUUUUCCCUGUUGCAACAGACACACAAACUAUUAAACUACACACAUAUUAAACCAUGAACUCUGCUCUGUUAUAAUAGCUUAGUUUAUUCACUUGUUACAAGUGCAAGGGUUGC